rnacentral:lncRNA from 1 species
AGAAGACUUGCCAAUCAGUGGUAGCACAGGGAGGAAGUUGGCUGAGCUGAGAGAAGGGCAUGUAGCUCAGACCAGAAACCUCUCAUCUAAGUACUGGGAGCUCCAAACUCCGGCCUGCUUCUGUCUAGACUUUGCCUUUUGGACUUGGCUUUUGGACGUCUUUGGAAGUGGCUUCUUGGGAUUUCGUGUUGGUGAGCUGGACUGAAGAAGGAGACUCUUUCCCUGGAUUCUGUGUCAGCUUGCUGGGUUAACCUCUUCACUCAGUUAAUUCAACUUAUUCCAAAAUGUUCAGAGCUUAAGGCCUUUCACCAUCCUAGUUGCUCUCCUGUGGAUCUUCAAAUUUGCCAAUGACCUUCCCAAAACCUGUUGUUUUGAAGUGAACACAGUAGUCCUGGCGAAGUACUCCGAGAUUAUUACCUCCUUAUU